UCAAAACUGAAAGUUGGAUGAGUUUGGCUCAGCUUGUUGGGUUCUGGAAAUCACACGGUGCCAAGAGCAAGUGGCAGCCAAACCACGGCACGUGGUCAUACCCAGGAGAUGCACAGGGUGAGGUCCCACCAGGACACCCCUCACCACGGGGAUGCAGCAGUUGAUUCUGGGGUCCCGUGGCAGCUCCACAUCCACAGUGACCAAAGGGCCCACAGGGACAGUGGCCCUGGAGGUAGCUGGUGACUGAAGACUGCUGGAUUGCUCCAUACCUGGAUGAGAUGUGUGAGGUCGCCGGGGAUGCUGGUGGCUGUGGGUCUCCUGAUGACCACAGCCAAGGCAGGCCAGGUUGGAUGGGGCCUUGGCAACCUGAGCUGGAUUUCAGCCUCCAGAUUUCAGCCCCCCAAAUGUGCCAAGCGUGAACCUUCAGCGAGAGCUUCAUCCACGCAACCCAUGCUGGACUAACUCAUCCCAGUCCAACCGUUCCCUGCAGCAGGAGUUUUGCGUUCAUGGAAGCACCUGGUGUAUUAGAAGUUGGUUUUGGAAUGCACUCACAGUGCCAACAGCCACAGUGACCGUCCUGCUGCCGGGCUGAGCAGUGGGGGGCUCUGCACUGGGGGAUGGAGCCUGAGCUGUGGCCUUGGGACCUGGCUGAGUUUCCCUGCUUCCAGCUGGGGGAUGGGGACAUCAGGAACAGGACCCAUCUAGGAACAGGAGCAGGUGCUGCCUUGCUUACCAUGGGGCUUUAAAGGCCAGGCUCACCCCAGCAAGGCAGUGGGUCCUCAGUUAGCUGCCCAGCUCCUUGUAAGGUCAUAUUUGUCAUCUCAAAAUACAGUUUGCUGUAGAACAGAGAAUAUUUAGAAGGGAUUUGAUAAGUAACAUCUGCUGCUGUACUGAAAUUUCAGUUCGAAGUGCUAAAAACUUUAAAAAGAAAGAGGUUUGGGUAAAAAUAAAAGGUCUCUGGAGAGGUCUCCUUGGCAGGAUCCUCCUCUCCUCCUUACACACAGCAGAUUUGUUCAUGUUUGCCAUUAUCCAUCAAACCAGAGCGCAGCAAAGGGCAGCUUUCAAGAGAUGAACCUGGAGGAGAUAAUAUUUCACACCGCAUAAAAUGCACCUCGGGAAUUUUCAGUUCUUCUUCCCUGUUACAUUACAAGGGCCUUCAUAAAAAGUGUCACAGCUCACGAGCUAAAAAAGAAAAAGAAGAAAAGAGAAAAAAAAAAAAAAAAGCAGCAGCUUGUGGCUUUGGAUGCAUUCAGUGCGCGUUUGUGGUCGGCGUUUCCCAGGCUGCUCGGGGGUGAGCGCCAGGUCGGCCCUCGCACGGCGCUCUGCAGGCGCUGUUUCUGUAUGAGUGAUAGCAGGCACUGAACGGCAGCACUGCGGCUGAAGGCUCCAUCCUGCCCAGGGGGUUGGGAUGGGGAUGCAGCUCCCAGCCGCCCCGCUGCUGCUGCUGUGUUCAAUGAGGUGGGAGUGGGCGCUAACCCGGGGUUUGAGG
rnacentral:lncRNA from 1 species